GGGGGUGACUGGUUUCGACAGGGUACGUUUGAGGUGGGAAGCAAGCCGUGGUCUCCUCGCCACGCUAAACAGGGGUCCCGUCAAAAUGAAUUGACGACAACAACUCUUUUGAGCCUCAACUGGCUCUCGCCGCAUAACAUAAGUCGGCGCGUCAAACUGGGAUUUCUCCCGCUCUCAGGGCGACGUCAUUUUAGGGAGAUGCGCGUGUGGACGUAGCUGGUAUGCCGCACGCAAAGGCUGAACUAGCUAGGGUGCAAAGCGUGGGUUGCCAGAUGCGAUGCCCCCGAAACCUAACUGGCAACUGAGCUUGGAGAAACCUGCCAGGGAUGUGCUUUGGACCGGAGUUCGAUUCUCCGCACCUCCACCA
rnacentral:tmRNA from 1 species